GGAUUCAGCGGCGGACGGGUGAGUAAUGCCUAGGAAUCUGCCUGGUAGUGGGGGAUAACGUCCGGAAACGGGCGCUAAUACCGCAUACGUCCUGAGGGAGAAAGUGGGGGAUCUUCGGACCUCACGCUAUCAGAUGAGCCUAGGUCGGAUUAGCUAGUUGGUGGGGUAAAGGCCUACCAAGGCGACGAUCCGUAACUGGUCUGAGAGGAUGAUCAGUCACACUGGAACUGAGACACGGUCCAGACUCCUACGGGAGGCAGCAGUGGGGAAUAUUGGACAAUGGGCGAAAGCCUGAUCCAGCCAUGCCGCGUGUGUGAAGAAGGUCUUCGGAUUGUAAAGCACUUUAAGUUGGGAGGAAGGGCAGUAAGUUAAUACCUUGCUGUUUUGACGUUACCAACAGAAUAAGCACCGGCUAACUUCGUGCCAGCAGCCGCGGUAAUACGAAGGGUGCAAGCGUUAAUCGGAAUUACUGGGCGUAAAGCGCGCGUAGGUGGUUCAGCAAGUUGGAUGUGAAAUCCCCGGGCUCAACCUGGGAACUGCAUCCAAAACUACUGAGCUAGAGUACGGUAGAGGGUGGUGGAAUUUCCUGUGUAGCGGUGAAAUGCGUAGAUAUAGGAAGGAACACCAGUGGCGAAGGCGACCACCUGGACUGAUACUGACACUGAGGUGCGAAAGCGUGGGGAGCAAACAGGAUUAGAUAACCUGGUAGUCCAC
rnacentral:rRNA from 1 species